UACGUAGGUGGCUAGCGUUGUCCGGAUUUACUGGGCGUAAAGAGCGCGCAGGCGGUCGUUCAAGUCGAGUGUGAAAGCCCCCGGCUCAACUGGGGAGGGUCACUCGAUACUGAUCGACUCGAAGGCAGAAGAGGGAAGCGGAAUUCCCGGUGUAGUGGUGAAAUGCGUAGAUAUCGGGAGGAACACCUGAGGCGAAGGCGGCCAUCUGGCCCGCAACUGACGCUGAGACGCGAAAGCGUGGGGAGCAAACAGG
rnacentral:rRNA from 1 species